CCGCGUAUCCUAACGGGCUUUGCGGUGGUCAUUUUUUUAAUUUUUAUUCGUAGGAGUUUAUAGUGGCCCGUAUUGCAGGUAUUAACGUUCCUGAU
rnacentral:sRNA from 1 species